GGUCCGACGUGAGCGUGAUCUUAAAGGAAACCUUCGACCUGAGGAGGACAGAGGGACAGAGUUAGGUUCGUGCAGCGGGGCCGGGAAGCAGGGCGGCUGUGUUCAGUAUGUUUUCUCAAGAAAAGGAUCCUCAAGAUAAUUCCUAAUGAAGAUGGGGCUAUUUCCACUUCCCAUUUUUUUCAUGUCACCCAGUGUCCUGACGAAGAUUUCCUUAAAUGUCUGGCUCCCAAAAGGAACAGAAAAAAAUCCUCUCAACAAUUUAUAUCCUCUCAACAACUGCUGUCUGGGAAAUUGCUUUAGCCCUUGGGGUUUGAAUGAUGCCUUUCCUUUGUGCAGGCCUCUCCCAAAUCAAAAGCAGAGAUCAGCAAUCAAAAGACACAACCUCAGUUCUUAGAAGUCUAAUUUCUUAUUACCCAUAUUGGCACCAUCAAGCUUCACCAGGAGCAUGCUUGUUUUCCCUAUGGCUACCCGCUGCAGAUAUGGAGGAUAAGGGAUGGUAGGUGCCAUGCAAAAUGCCCAAAUUCACUGAAAUGUACUGACAUUUUCCUGCCUUUCCAUCAACCUCUCCUCUGAAUGCUGCAUAUGUUCAACAAGAUCUCAGAGUUCCAAAAUAAUUGAUUCAGGCUGUCCCAAUCAACAUAAUUAUUGAUUUGGUGGAGGGACUGAUUCUUUGAGUUUCCUUCUCCACAAUCUUCCAUGACAUCACUCUCCCUAUCCUCCACUUUUAAGGUUCAUAAACAAGUUCUUUAGCAAUUGGGAAUUUUAAAUUGUUCUAUUUUAUAUUAUAUUAGGAUAAAAUUUUGUAGCAUAAUUGACAUGGACAUUAAUUUAGACUCAAACCAAACAAAACCCUUUGCCAUCAAGUCAAUUCCAACUCAUAGCAACCCUACAGGACAGAAUACAAUUGCCCCAUAGAGUUUCCAAUGCUGUAAAUCUUUAUGGAAGCCACACUUUCUCCCACGAAGCAGCUGGUGGGUUUGAAUCACAGGCCUUUCAGUUAGCAGCCAAGGGCUUAUUCACUGUGCCACCAGAGGUGCAUAGUUCAGACUUACCACCCUCUAAAUUUCUCGUCUAUGCUUUAGAGUUACUAUUGUACUUUUGAUCUCCUAAAGAUAAUUUUUUAAAAAACACAAUAUUUAAGGAUGACAUUCUUUACUUUUUGAGUUAAACUUUUGUUUUGUUGUGUUUAAAGAGGAUUUCAGGGGAUAGUUUCAUUUCAAGAUUUGAAGAGUAUUCCAGGGCAAUAGUCUCUGGAGUUUCUCUGGACUCAGUGGGUCCAAUAGGUCUGGAUUCUUUGGGAACUUGAAGUUCUGUUCCCCAUUUUUUCCCUUUCUAUCAGGACCCAUCUAUUGUCUCCCCACUUGAAACAUCCAAUAAUGGUAGCUGGGUACCUUCUGGUCUCAAGUUAGAGGAAGUAGUGGGUCAUGGAGACUAUUGUUCCCAUAGUCCAUUUGCUUCCCUGUUUCUUCGGUUUCCUUCUUCUGUUGCUCCAGGAGAAUAAUGACCAGUUGUAGCAUCUUGAUUGGGCACUUGCAAGCUUUUAAAACCCCAGACAUUACUCACAAAACUGGGUGGAAAAUAGAACCUUUAAAAACAGUAUUAUGCUAAUUGACUGAAUCGUCCCACAUGAUCAAGACCCUAGAUCAAAGAGAAAAAAAAAAAAAAAACUAGUCCCAUGAGGUGUUUGGUUUUAAGUAGUAUCAGCAGCUAUAACACUUUUUUUUUGGCAGCGGGGUGGAGUGGUUGUUGUUGUUCCAAAAUCAUAUUUACUAUAAUAUUUGCCACCCCUUUCUUAUUCUUAGGUACAGUUUAAUAAUAUCACUUAUGUUAGACAGGCUAUGCAAUUUUCAUCUACAUUCAGUGGCACUUUUCCCAUGACCAUCAACAAAAAUUUACUACUACCUAGAGAAGGAUUCCAUCUCCCUCAUCCUAAAAAAAAAAAAAAUCCUGGUAACCAUUAAUAAUCUUUUGUCCCUAUGUGUUAACCUAUUCCUGUCAUUUCAUAAAACAAAUUUACAUUUCAUGAUCUAUCAUCUGAUAGUUCAAUUAGGUGCUUUUCACUUUAGUAAAAGUAAAGAAUUGGAGACCAUUUGAUUGCCAAAUAAUUUUAUCUCUUAAUUUUGGAACUGUAAGGAAAAUAAAUUAUCCAGACUUAUUACAUCAAUACUGAUUUGUUAGGUUUUACUUAUAUCUACCCAAUGUACGGAAACCCUGGUGGCAUAGUGGUUAAGUGCUAUGGCUGCUAACCAAGAGGUCAGCAGUUCAAAUCCACGAGGUGCUCCUCAGAAGCUCUACGGGGCAGAGUUCUACUCUGUCUUAUAGGUUCACUAUGAGUUGGAGUCGACUGGAGAACAGUGAGUGGGUUACUCAACGUACUCAGUGGAGAUAAAAAAAAUGGUAUUUUUUAUACAUCUUUGUCAAUUUAAUAUUUACUUUCAACUUGCCCCAUGCUUUAAAUAUAUUUUUAUUAAAAUCUCAGCGAUAUAGAUGUGGCCCAUUCAAUUUAUAGAAAAUAUCUGACUCAUAAUCUAAGCAAGCAAACCAAAAUUACUUUCUGAUGUAAAAGUCAGAUUUCAUUUACCACUACUGUUUGGAUUGAAUUAGGUCCUCCAAAAAUAUGUGUUUUAAAUCCUAGCCACUAUAAAGUUGCUAUGAGUCUGAAUCAACUCGAUGGCAGUUUUUUUUUUUUAAUACUUCUGUCUAUAAUCCCAUUUGGAAAUGGGCUUUCUUUGUUAUGUUAAUGAGGCAGUGUGCCAAAAGUCAACCUCUCUUGAAAUAUGAAAGAGCAGGUUAAGCAAGGAAGCAAGCACAAAUGGAAGGGAGACAAUACAAGCCACAUGAUCACCAAGGAACCCAGUAAUAGAAGCUGAAAAGAGACAAGGGCCCCCACCCCUUCCAAGAGGGAAAAGAGUCUUCACCUAGAGCCUGAAUUCAGACUCCUAGCCUUCUUAAUUGUGAGAAAAUAAAUUUCUGUUUCAAAAAGUGACUCACUUGUGGUUUUUUUGUUAUACCAGCACUAGAUAACUAAGACAGUCACCAAUAGGCAUUUUUAUACAUAUUUCAAAAAUAUUAUAAAAACACUGAGAAAUAAAUUAUGGCAAGGUUUUUGAAA